GUGAGGGUGGUGCAGGGUGCGGCGGGAUGGGGUAGGCGGCUAGGGUUGUUCGGGGUUAGUGGGUGUGAAGGGUGUGGAGGCGGUUGUUUGAGUUUGGUGUGAAAGCUCCCGGCUCGAGUGGGAGGGUGCGCCGAAUACUGAAGGACUAGAGUGCGGGAGAGGAGAGUGGAAUUCCUGGUGUAGCGGUGAAAUGCGUAGAUAUCAGGAGGAACACCGGUGGUGUAGACGGCUCUCUGGACCGUAACUGACGCUGAGACACGAAAGCGUGGGUAGCAAACAGGAUUAGAUACCCUAGUAGUC
rnacentral:rRNA from 1 species